UACGAAGGGGGCUAGCGUUGCUCGGAAUCACUGGGCGUAAAGCGCACGUUAGGCGGAUUGUUAAGUCAGGGGUGAAAUCCUGGAGCUCAACUCCAGAACUGCCUUUGAUACUGGCGAUCUUGAGUCCGGGAGAGGUGAGUGGAACUGCGAGUGUAGAGGUGAAAUUCGUAGAUAUUCGCAAGAACACCAGUGGCGAAGGCGGCUCACUGGCCCGGUACUGACGCUGAGGUGCGAAAGCGUGGGGAGCAAACAGG
rnacentral:rRNA from 1 species